AUCUAUCACACGUGUAGACAAAGGGGGACUCCACAACACAAAGCUAGAUGUGCCCUCUCAAACUUUUCCCCCCCCCUACAACCGACAGCAGCGCGCGCACAGGAAGCCGACUGCCCAGGUGGGAAUUUAAGCAAUUUAACCGGUACAGUGCUUGCUUCUGAUGGAUUAAGAUUAAAAAAAGAUGUGUAGAAAAAAAAACACGUGGAAGAUGUACAGAUUCACCUAUCAAGCUAUUUUUAAGAUGAAAUGAAGGAUUAAGAGACUGUUCACUUUUCUUCUGGAUGAACAUGAAGACUUAUCUCAUGAGGAUUUAGACUUCAGCAGCAGCAGCGCCAGUCGGAUUGUGUUUUAGGCACACUUGGAAAUCUAAACCUCAUGGAGAUACUUUGAGGAUUAUAAAAGAUGUGCAUGUAGAAUGCCACAAUACAAGACGCGUCCUGGGCCAAAGUCCUUGGGAUAGCAGGAUAUUGCUUUCCUGAUCCUUCUCAGCCCUCAGCAUGGGGAGUGUGGGAGUGGUGAGGUCUGGGAGAUCACGACCUUAAUUCUCUCCAAGACAGACGGUUUAAUUAACACUGGAAAAAUCCUCACUGACUCCAGACCUCUACAGUGAGAAUGUACAGGGGAAUUGGCUUGCCAAGGUCCUCUUGGCCAUAGACUGAAAUGCUGACAGACGAUGCCCAUGAAUGAUGAAUGAUGACUGGAGGUCUGUCUGGUGCCAGCAGAAUGCAUAAUACAGCAUCGAUACAGCAAUCGCAGUCCUCCUCAGCAGAAACAUGGUGCGGUUUCUGUAUCACAUUAUUGGAAGAUUUGCCCCAAGCAGGACAGCAGGACCACUCAAAGUGGAAAUCAACCGCAAUGUUGAAUGUUGUUUUGGGUUGGAGUCCUAAAUGAAGCAGCAUUACAAAGAGUUUUCUGGUGUGUCAGAGUGAGGCUCAGUGGGAAAGAUUGCUGUGUCUAGACAGGAGUGUGAGGUGCUGAUCUACACAGAAGCUUACAGGAAACUGAAGAAGACGGGUGAGGUUAAAGAGGACAGCACGAUGGAAAAAACAAGAAUAAAAGCACCAGGAUGUGCACAAGUCUGCCAGCCGUUAACCCCACAGAGGAAGUGUGCAGGAAAUGAGAUCAGCCUUAAACAGAGUGCAGCCUGAAGGCAAUUUUCAUCACUACCUCAUGCAACUGCAGACACAGAGGCAAUUACCACAAUCCAUGCUCGGGAGGAUAUUCCAUCUCUCUCCAGCCGACUUGACCGUGACUCACUGUAAAGACUCAGAGCUGCUGAAGAGUGCUGCAACAUAUAUUGGCGAACAAGGAUGUACCCCACCUCUUGCCCCGUGACACCUGGGACAGGCUCCAGCCUCCCCAUGAGCCUGAACUGGUUUUGCCUGAAAACUUUUGGACCAACACAACCUGGGAAAGGUUAAGAUGAACAAAAGAGACUGCAACAGAAAGUGGAUAGAGAGUCAGUAACACCACAGCAGGAGGUGAAAGGAGGAGACCUGCAGGCAGGAAGAGAGAGGAGAGGGAAACUGUGCAAAAGUACAGCACAGAAUCGUGCCUCACAUCAGAUGUCAGCAAUGCAAAAAUGUGUGACACUGCAAAAUGAAGGCAAAGGGGAGAAAAAAAAACAUCUGUGUGCGAUAGGGUUUAAAUCCAAUAACUGCAUGCAUGUAUGGAUCCGAGUCAUUGUUCAAAUAUUUGAGCCUUUGUGUGUGCGUGUGUGUGUGCAUGUGCACUUGCACAAUGAAUGGGGUGCCAGGCGGCAGCAGCUGGGAAUGCCUUCCUCUGUUCUCCUGUCAUCAAUAAAUGAUCAGAGUGGGCCAUCUGGAGAGAGGGAACCACCAACCACCAGGACCUGGCACUGAACGAAUGACACAGAGAAAGAAAAAGAAUGUGAGGAUAGAUCAGUGAACAGUAAGAGUAAGAGCGAGAUGGGACAGGAAGGGGGAAGUUACAUUUAAAGAACACCGGGGAGGCAAUUAAAAAGAUGAUGUGAAAAAGACCCUACGAUAUACUGGUGGAGCUCAAAAGAAAAUAGAAUAUUGUGAAAAGUUGUUUUUUCAUGAUUUAAUUCAAAAAGGCAUCAUCUCCGAUAUUCUUUUGUUUACAUUUUUAUGAUUAUGGCUUAUAGCUCACGAAAAUCAGAAAUCAAGCAUCUUAUGUAAUUAGAAUAUUUCCAAACGGCAAUCAAAAAAAGGAUUUACUAUACUUCUGAGUAUGCUUUUUAUUCUACAGUACUUGAUUGGGUUUCUUUUACCAUGAAUUACUGCAUCAGUGCAGUGUGAUGCAGAGGCAUUCAGCUUGUGGUGUUGCUAAAAGCCAGGUUGCUUUGAUAACAGUCCUCAGCUCAUCUGUACUUUUGGGCUGAGUAUUUCACAUCUUACUCUUGUCAGUACCCUAUAAAUUGUCUGUAGGGUUCAAGUCAGGUGAGUCAGCUGAUCAAUUAAGCACAUUACAAUAAAAUUCACAUGACAAUAACUUGGUAAGCAAACCAUUUGGAAGUAGUUUUGGCACUGUUUGCAGGUGGUAGGUUUAAUCAAAAAGGAAACCGGCAUUGCUAUAAAGCUUUUCAACAGAUGGAAUCGUGACCUGAUCUCCUGGUAGACAGCUGUGUUGACUUUGGAUUUGAUGAAACAGAGUGAACCAACCACCACCAACACCAGCAGAUGACAUGGCACAAUAAAUCCUAACAGACUGCACAAACUUUACACUGGCAUUUCAACACCUUACAUCUGUGUCUCUCUAGACUCUAGGAUCUUGAUUUUCAAAUGAAAUCAAAUUUACUUUCAUUUGAAACGAGGACUUUGGACCAUUAAGCCACAGUUUAGUUCUUUUUUUCCUUAGUCCAGCUAAGAUACUCCUGACACUGUCUGUGGUUCUGGAGUCUUUUGCCAUUACUUUUGCAACACUUGAAAGUGGCUGUGCCUGGUGGCUGUUGAUGUAUUGCAACCACCUGGGAUUCCUCUGGCCCGCCAGUAACCCCUUCACUUCCUGCCUGCUGAGAGGAAUAUCCAAGAAGAGCUCAGACUCCACUCCUCAAUUAUCAGCCAACUUUUACUACUGUAUACUUACCCCUGACCAUCACUAACCCCCCAUUUACUCUGCAGCAGAGCUUCCUGUUCAUUCCUGUAGAAAGAUACUCACUGGAGCACUUACCUUUUUCAGACUCCUGUUUUUUUUUUUUUCAUUCCAAGUAGUUCUUAAAACUGUUGCUGUUCACAAGCAAAACGUGCUGUAAUGUGACUCGACAAAUUUGCACCUAGACAAAAAGAGUAAACUUCGACCACAUGUGCCAGAAGAAAAAUGCAGUUGUUUGUAGAGAUCGAAAGAACUCACACUUUUGCAUACUCAGAUACUACAUUUGACAUAAUACAUACAUAAUAUGACAUUUUCAGAGACAGAAAAUAUGCAAAGAAUAUGCAUAAAAUAAUUAGUUAAUUAAAAGUAAUUUUUUAAUGUAUUUAUUUUCACUGUUUUUUUGUGACUGGAGUUAGGAGUGCCAUGGUCCUGAGUCUUUGACUUAGUAUUUUGAGUUUUAUACCC